AAUAUAGAUUGUCAAUGAAUUUAUAUGUAAUUUUUAAUUAUUUAUAAGAGUUAAAAAAUUUAUAGUUAAAUUUCAUAGUUAUCAAGUACUACUAAUUAAAUUCUAAAAAUAGAUAAAAAAUAAAUAAAAUAAUUUAUUUAAUUGAUAAUAAUUAAGUAUUAUAUAUAACUAACUAAUUUAGUAUUUAGUAUAGACUUGUAUGGUACUGUACAUCUAUAAUACAUUAGAAUGACUCUAAUUGUUUUGACGUAGUUUAAAAAUUACUUUUCAAAUCAUUUUUAGAUUUUUUUUCUUCCUUUUUAAUGAGACUUUUUAAAAAUUAUUUUUUAGAAUCAGUAUUUGAGAAUGGCUAAUAAAUUCCUUCCCCUCAAAAACAAAAAAAAGAAUUUUUAAAAAACAUCAUAAUUGUAAAAGAAAAUAAAGAAAUUUUAAUCUUCACUUCGGAAAAUUGAGCAAGAAGCGACUAAACAAAUUCAAAAGAAUAAAAAAUAAAUAUCAGAAUGUAGAUCCAUAAUUUUGUGACCCACAAAUCUCAAUUGUUUAGCAAAUAAGCAAAGGUAGCAACCAGAAAAGAAAUACAAAAAGAAAAAAUAAAUGUAUUAUGAAAUACUUUUCUCUUACUGUCUGUUCUAACUAAAAUAAAUAGUAAAUAAAUUAUUUUUCUUAAAAAGGAGUUUCUAAAUUCAUAUAUGCCUUGACUAAUUAAGGUGACCCACACAAUUAUUUCCAUUAAUUAAGCCGAAAUGAUAAAAUUUAUGGAAACCCAUAAAUGUUUUUAUCCAAAAUUGAUCCCACUUAACUCCUAACUAAAACCCCAUAUCUUGACUCUUAUUUCUUUCAUUUUCCUCUUCAGCUGUUGGGUUGUGGGUUUUGGGUUUUCUUGGAUCUCUCUAUUUCUCACUCUCUACCGCUGAAUUUGGCUGGAUUAAAGAAAUAUGGGUUUUUUACCAUGUGGAUUAUUUGGCUUUUGUGGUGGAGAUUGCAGUCUGUGUAUGGAACUAAAGAAAAUUGGAGGUAAAGCAUGGAUUUGUCCAAAAUCUUGCUUAGGAUCUUGAAAAUGCUUGAAAGUGGAGAUGCGAUUUGCUGUUGGCAUAUUUACUUCUGCUGAAUUCUAGGUUUCAUGCUCUUCAACUUCCUUGUAAAUGGAUCCAACUUGUGCAUAUUUCAUGAUUGACAGAUGAGAAUUGCAGAAAUGUACUUGUAUGUUUCCAGCCAAUCUUGCUUUGUUAUUUUUUUCAAAGAACCUUUUGUUUUGCUGCAUUUCAAUCUGUUUCAAUGGUAUUUUCUCUAAUUAGAUUA